GAGGGUAGAGCUCAGAGGUAGAGCGCAUGCUUAGCAUGCACGAGGUCAUGGGUUCAAUCCCCAGUGCCUCCA
rnacentral:tRNA from 1 species